rnacentral:rRNA from 1 species
AGGGAAAGGCGAAAAGAACCCCGGCGAGGGGAGUGAAAAAGAACCUGAAACCGUGUACGUACAAGCAGUGGGAGCACAGGUUUACCUGUGUGACUGCGUACCUUUUGUAUAAUGGGUCAGCGACUUAUAUUCUGUAGCAAGGUUAACCGAAUAGGGGAGCCGGAGGGAAACCGAGUCUUAAUUGGGCGUUAAGUUGCAGGGUAUAGACCCGAAACCCGGUGAUCUAGCCAUGGGCAGGUUGAAGGUUGGGUAACACUAACUGGAGGACCGAACCGACUAAUGUUGAAAAAUUAGCGGAUGACCUGUGGCUGGGGGUGAAAGGCCAAUCAAACCGGGAGAUAGCUGGUUCUCCCCGAAAGCUAUUUAGGUAGCGCCUCGUGAAUUCAUCUCCGGGGGUAGAGCACUGUUUCGGCUAGGGGGCCAUCCCGGCUUACCAACCCGAUGCAAACUGCGAAUACCGGAGAAUGUUAUCACGGGAGACACACGGCGGGUGCUAACGUCCGUCGUGAAGAGGGAAACAACCCAGACCGCCAGCUAAGGUCCCAAAGUCAUGGUUAAGUGGGAAACGAUGUGGGAAGGCCCAGACAGCCAGGAUGUUGGCUUAGAAGCAGCCAUCAUUUAAAGAAAGCGUAAUAGCUCACUGGUCGAGUCGGCCUGCGCGGAAGAUGUAACGGGGCUAAACCAUGCACCGAAGCUGCGGCAGCGACGCUUAUGCGU